AUUGAACGCUGGCGGCAUGCUUUACACAUGCAAGUCGAACGGCAGCACGGGUGCUUGCACCUGGUGGCGAGUGGCGAACGGGUGAGUAAUGCAUCGGAACGUGCCCACGAGUGGGGGAUAGCCCGGCGAAAGCCGGAUUAAUACCGCAUACGCCCUUAGGGGGAAAGCGGGGGAUCUUCGGACCUCGCGCUAUUGGAGCGGCCGAUGUCGGAUUAGCUAGUAGGUGGGGUAAAGGCUCACCUAGGCGACGACUCCGUAGCUGGUCUGAGAGGAUGAUUACGCCACACGUGGGACUGAGAC
rnacentral:rRNA from 1 species